UUUAGGGAUCCUUGUCUGUUUCCUGUUCUAAUCUCAGGGGUACUCACUACAUGAUGAGUAACACAAGAGGAUGAGAUGAAUCACUGCACCAACGUAGUUUAAUUUUUAGUUUAAUUUUUGUGGUCAGUGCUUUACUGGCUUGGGAUUGGGAGAGCAAAGAAAUAAUGAAAUUUGAGGUUAGAGAAGCUCUGGCUUCCCAUUGAAGGUAUGAGAGGAAAAGAAACCUAAGAAAGAAAGAAGCUGGGCAAACAUGGCUCCAUGUACCCUGGGUUUUCUCUUACACUGGUCCUGCUUUGAGGAUGAACACACACAAGGGGUGAAUGCUUCCUGCUCGUUGGCUUUGCUGCUGGCUGGUAUAUGAGUAGCACUGGCUGAUGUAACAAACGUACACCAACGUUCCAGUGGCUUCCUACAAGAGUUCUAUUCUUCCUCAUGAAAAAUUUCAGACUACAUUCCUGGUUGUCAGGAAGCUCCCCUCCACAUGAUGACUCAGGGACUCAUUUUGUUCCUCAUGGCUCUGCCCUGUCUUGUGCAUGUUGUUGGUGAAGUUGAUAAAGGAACUUAGAAAGCCAUUUUCUGUGGAGGCAUAAUCCAAGUGAUGCCUAUCAUACCAGCUCCUAUUCCCUUGGUAGGAAUUUACUCACACAACCACCUCUAUUUUAGAGGGAAGCAGGGAGACUUAGUGUAACUGUAUGCCCAGAAAAGAAAGGUCAACUGAGGAUUUCAAGUAUCUACCAGUCUUAAGUGAAUAUAGAGAAUUCUAGGUGGAGAAAACUAAAGAAAACAGAGACAGAGGAACAAAGUAAGUGAAGGUUGCAGAGUACGGAAUGAAGGAGCUGGAAGUGGCAACGACAUUCUACACUAGAGGAGAGGAUGGGGUAGUUUCUCAAUGCAUGGAAAAUCUAUUCUCUCGGAAGACCUGGUGGUGCUGGAGGCUUGAAUUCUCUUCUGUCAGUAGCUACAGAAAAUCAAAGAAGGAAAUAUCAAACUGUGUUUUCAGGGCCACUGACUCUGUGACUUCCGCUGUCUGGCCUUCAUGAAGCCAGGCGGUCAAAUGGGACACACAGAAACUCGAAUCAGUGAGUCCUUCCUCCUGGCCUGAGGCCCCAGCUUGAUCCCACAACAGGGAAAAUUCUGGAGGUUUCUGUGUUGACCUGGGUGGUAGUUAUGCAGCGGUGUUCCCUUUGUGACAAUUCAUCAAACCAUUCACAUAAUGUGUUGCCUUUUCUGUAGGUAUUUUUUUCUUCAAUGAAUAGUUUAAUAAACACAAAAAAGAAAAUAUGGUCAUCUUAUCUUUGGACAGUCUCUCAAAUGUUUUAUAAUUAAUUAAAUUCUUUAACUUAUGUA
rnacentral:lncRNA from 1 species